UACAUGGGGUGCAAACGUUGCUCGGAAUUACUGGGCGUAAAGCGCACGUAGGCGGAUCGAUCAGUCAGGGGUGAAAUCCCAGGGCUCAACCCUGGAACUGCCUUUGAUACUGUCGAUCUGGAGUAUGGAAGAGGUGAGUGGAAUUCCGAGUGUAGAGGUGAAAUUCGUAGAUAUUCGGAGGAACACCAGUGGCGAAGGCGGCUCACUGGUCCAUUACUGACGCUGAGGUGCGAAAGCGUGGGGAGCAAACAGG
rnacentral:rRNA from 1 species